rnacentral:misc_RNA from 1 species
GUGAAGAACGCAGCGAAACGCGAUAUGUAAUGUGAAUUGCAGAAUUCAGUGAAUCAUCGAAUCUUUGAACGCACAUGGCGCCUUCCAGUAUCCUGGGAGGCAUGCCUGUCCGAGCGUCGUUUCAACCCUCGAGCCCUCGUGGCCCGGCGUUGGGGAUCUGCCACGGCAGGCCCCGAAAUACAGUGGCGGACCCGUUAGGCCCUUCCUUUGCGUAGUAGCAUCAGCCUCGCAUCGGGAGCCGGCGGGCUCUCCUGCCUCUAAACCCCCCAACAAGCCCGCUCCGGCGGCACCAAGGUUGACCUCGGAUCAGGUAGGAAUACCCGCUGAACUUAAGCAUAUCAAUAAGCGGAGGA